rnacentral:snRNA from 1 species
AUCGCUUCUCGGCCUUUUGGCUAAGAUCAAGUGUAGUAUCUGUUCUUAUCAGUUUAAUAUCUGAUACGUCCCCUACCCGGGGACCAUAUAUUAAAUAGAUUUUUGGAACAGGGAGAUGGAAUAGGGGCUUGCUUCGUCCACUCCACGCAUCGACCUGGUAUUGCAGUACCUCCAGGAACGGUGCACCCCCC